UGCAGAGAUUCACAUCAUUGCUUAGGAUCCUAACUGCUGCCCAGAAAGGCCUUGGUCAGACAGCAGGCAAGAGCCUAGAGAGCUGCUGACCCCUGUGUGUUUGGGCAUCAGCUGCCGCAGAGGGUCUUGGAAAUGCGCAGUGAGUGCAUCGGCCAUAUUAUGACCACAGAUGCAGGGCUGGGAGGAGCCUGGAGAAGGAAGUGGGCACAGCAGCUCCCCUGUCAGAACUGCAGAGGCAGUUGUUUUCUCACUCCAGAUGUGAACCCCCAUGCUCCAGCCGCCUUGCCAGCCUGCUGCCCUGGCUCCCUGCAGUAAUAGCGAUGGAUUCUUAUCACUUUGUAACUAUACCAACCACCAGCUGCAGAGUAGUCACAGGUCAUGGUCAAGAGACAAGCAGCCUUGCUGUGGUCCUGGCCCACAGGGAUGGACUUGGUUCUGAGGUGUGGGAAGUCAUCUGCUGCCAAGAUCUGGAGCUGAUGGGUGUAAGUGCCUGGCCAAGUCCCCAGACUUGACAGGGAAUGGAGUCAGGCUUUGUGCUCUGGAAAGGGCAGUGCAUGAGGGAAUACCAGGGUCAGAGAACACUCUGGCAGACAGACAGGGAAAGAGGUCAUUCAUAAACAAGAUGGCAUUCUUCUGGCUCCUUCGUCUCCCAGGACAAAGAGUCAACAGUUCCUUCCUCCCAUGGUGGACUCCCUCUAGGCCUUGACAUGGCCUAGGCAGGCCCUGACCCUGGACGCUAUAACCCAACUAGCUCACUCUUCCUUGUCUAAUUUGACCAGUCUAAAAUGAGGUGAGGGGGACCUGCCCUAUGCUACCCCAAACACUUAAAAACCCAAUCCCUCCCAGGGAGGAGGGUGCAGAUUUCAGUUUCUGGAUCUCCUUCCCACUCGUGGUGAGUUUGUCUUGGGGGGACUGUGCUACAUGGAUACACUUUCACUUUUAAUAAAACGUGUUUGCUUGCUGUGACUAUGACUUAUUUCCUAGAUUUUAAUUCUUUAGUCAAUGGAGAAAACGAACCUAACCCAAGACCCCUAGACAGUAACAUUUCGGAGGAAUUCAUCCCCCAAAUUCAUGUAAUUUGAAGACGACUGACUCAUUAAGGUCAGUAUGAACAAAGCCAAACUCAGAAAGGAUAGGAGGGUGUGGUGGUUUGAAUGAGAAUGCCUCCCUUAGGCUCAGGUGUUUGAAGGCUUGGUCCUCAGUUGUUGGAACUGUUGGGGAAGGACUGGGAGGUGUGGUCUUGUUGGAGGAGGUGUGUCACUAGGAGUGGGCUUUGAAUUUCAGAAGCCAGGCCAGGCCCAGUCUCUCUCUCUCUCUCUCUCUCUCUCUCUCUCUCUCUCUCUCUCUCUCUCUCUCUCUCUCUCCCUACAACUGGCAGAUCAGAUGUGAGCUCUCAGCUACUGCUCCCAUGCAGGCCUCCCUGCCACUCUACUUCCCACCAUGAUGCUCAUGGACUGACCCUCUGAAACUGUAAGCAAGCCACCAAUUAAAUGCUUUCCUAUAUGAGAACUGCCUUGGUCAUGAUGUCUUUUCACAGCAAUAGAACAGUGACUAAGACAAAGGGUGUGAUAGUUAAACUCUCCUGGUUCCUUCCCAUCCAUGAAUGGGGGACCCCCAAGUUUAGCAAAUGGAAUUACUAGGCUGGUAAUUUGGUUUCUCCUUUUUCUCUGAUAGGGAGAUUCCUAUUCAGAAUUUACCUCCAAUGCCUAUCAGAGAGCAAGAGGUUUUUUUUGGUUGGUUUGUUUGUUUGUUUGUUUUUGUUUUUGUUUUGGUAGUUUUGGCCAAAUUCAUGAUAGCCACCCCUGGAGCUGAAAUGAAGGAUCUCUUAGAGUUAAUUAUUGAUAGCUGGCUUCUGAGAAACUCAAUGACCUUUGUUUCCAAUGAGAUUAAAUCUUUCAUCUUUACCCCAUUAAUCAUGUCUUCUCAAACUUGAGGGUUCUGUCUUAUCUUUCCUCUUGUUGCUCAUCUCACCUAAAUCAAACAUGAAAAGGGCCUUUAACAAGUAGUUAAGAAUGUGUGAAAGUUCUUUAGAAAGAAAGAGGACUGCUUUCUUAGAAAAAUGAGAAGACUGCUCUUGCAGAGGACCCCAGUUCAACUCCCAGCAUUCACACGGCAGUUCACAAACACCUGUAACUCCAGGUGCAGGAGGGCAGAUGCUAUCCUCUCACCUCCACAGGCUCCUGUAUAUACAUGAUGUGCACACACACACACACCUCUAAGAAAAAUUAAACAUUUUUUAAUGUGGGUAGAGCAGUCCUAGGCCACUCUCUUUAGGGAGAUAUGUGAAGUUGCUCUUAUCCUGGAGACAGGUAAACCUUUUGUUGCUUUUAAAGCUUCUAUAUUUCUGUCUUUCCUCUGUCCCUCUAUGGAUUUAAAAGACAGAAGGCCCACUAUUGUUUUAACCUAAAAUUUGAGUCAUGGUUAAAUUUCCCUUUCUUUCUCUCUAGAAGCCUUUUGGGAGAAACUUCACACUGUGAUUCUAGCCACUCCCAUAGUCCAAUAUGGACUCCUCUGUUGUAGAAUAUUAGUUGAAGAUGUAUUAUAUUUGUUUAUGCUGUGGAAUAUUUGUUUAAUAAUGCUGAGAUGUGUUGCAUUCUUUUAUGUUGCAUUUGUUUAACUCUAUGAAGCUGUGUUACUUUGACUGUCUAAAACACCCGACUGGUCUAAUAAAGAGCUGACUGCUCAAUAGCUGGGCAGGAGAGAGAAACAGAUAGGGCUGCCAGGCAGAGAGAAUAAAUAAGAGAAAAAGGAAAGGAGAAGGAGAGGAGAAUGCCAGGGUCAUCCACCUAGCCACACAGCUAGACAUGGAGUAAGAAGGAAAGAAAGGAAUAUAGAAUAGAGAAAGGUAAAAGCCCAGAGGCAAAAGGUAUGGGAUAAUUUAAGUUAAUAAAAGCUGGCCAGAAACAAGACAAGCUAAGGCCAGGCAUUCAUAAGUAAGAAUAUGUCUCCCUGUAUUUAUUUGGGAGCUGGGUGGCAGACCCCCAAAGAAUAAAAAAGAAAAACCAACUACAUUUUGGUGCCCUAUGUUGGGCGCCAACAUUGUUUUGCAUUCAAUACAAUGGCUGCACCUUAAGCACCUUAAACAAUUGCUGUCCCAACCGGCAACUGCAAUUCCACAGCUAUCAGCAGCAGUUCAGCCACAUGGGCCACAGCCAGGAGGGAAUUCUGUUCCCUCAGGUACCAGCUCUGUCAUGGCCACUAAAGGAAACCUUAUCUAAAUCUCUAUUUUUCUAUAGAACUCAGGAUUCAAAGGUUGAAGUAAAAUCAUGCUAACUCAGAGAGAUUGAAUAGAAAAUAGCUAACCUUCUCUCCUAGAUCACAUUUCCCAAAAAAGGACCAGCCUUCUACCCCCACUAAAGAAUCCUUGGUACACUUAGAUCCUCCCUACUACUUCCUGUCAGCCAAUUGCUGACUCAGCCUCCUGUUGUUGUUUGUUUUUGCUCUUUUGGGGAGCCCGCCACCCAGCUCCCAAAAAAUCACACACAGAGGCUUAUUCUUAUUUAUAAAUGCCUGGUCUUGGCUUGGCUUAGUUUCUAGCCAGCAUUCCUUAACUUAAAUGAUCCCAUCUACAUUUUGCCUCUAGGAUUUUCCAGUUCUCUUACUCUUACUUUGUGGCUUGCUGUGUAGCUGGGUGGCUGGCCCCUCGAGUCCUCCUCCUUCUCUGGCUACUUCUUUUUUCUCCUCCCAGAGUUCUCCUUCUAUAUAUUCUCUUUGCCUGCUAGCCCUGCCUAACCUUUCCUGCCUUGCUAUUGGCCAUUCAGUCCUUUAUUAGACCAUCAGGUGGGUUUGUUUUAUUUUGUUUUGUUUUGUUUUAUUCGAGACAGAGUUUCUCUGUGUAGCUUUUGGAGCCUGUCCUGGAACUCACUCUGUAGACCAGGCUGGCCUCGAACUCUCAGAGAUUUGCCUGCCUCUGCCUCCCAAGUGCUGGCAUUAAAGGCAUUAAAGGCCACCCACCCAGUUACCACAGAUGUUUUAGACAGACACAGCUUCACAGAG